GUUUCUAAGGAUAACCGAAAUUGUUUUGUUUCAUCUGAUCCUCGAUCAGAUUUUUCCUGCUUAGACCAGACCAGCACGCUGAAGAACCGACACAAAAUGAGUGAUAAUAAUAAUAAACUCUCAAUAUUAAGUAAUAACGCUGAGGUCAGUAUGUCGGAAGCACUGACCUCCGCUGGGCCCUGCUCACCCCUAGCCGGUCUCGGCAACGGCCUCGCCUCCUCUCAGUUCAGCGGGCUCGACGCUGGGCCUCGACAGCGGGUUUGAUGUCACCCGCGCAGGUUGGGAUUUCCCAGAGGGCACUUGCGCGGGUUACAAAGGAUAUCCCUCUGAACCGAAGAAAGAUGGGUUCAAUAACUCCC
rnacentral:lncRNA from 1 species